rnacentral:rRNA from 1 species
UAGGGAAUCUUCCACAAUGGACGCAAGUCUGAUGGAGCAACGCCGCGUGAGGGAAGAAGGCCUUCGGGUUGUAAACCGCUUUCAGCAGGGACGAGGCCGCAAGGUGACGGUACCUGCAGAAGAAGCCCCGGCUAACUACGUGCCAGCAGCCGCGGUAAUACGUAGGGAGCAAGCGUUGUCCGGAUUUACUGGGUGUAAAGGGUGCGUAGGCGGCUCUGCAAGUCAGGUGUGAAAACUAUGGGCUUAACCCAUAGACUGCAUUUGAAACUGUGGGGCUUGAGUGAAGUAGAGGCAGGCGGAAUUCCUAGUGUAGCGGUGAAAUGCGUAGAUAUUAGGAGGAACACCAGUGGCGAAAGCGGCUUUCUGGACGACAACUGACGCUGAGGCGCGAAAGCCAGGGGAGCAAACGGGAUUAGAUACCCCGGUAGUCCUGGCCGUAAACGAUGGGUACUAGGUGUAGGAGGUAUCGACCCCUUCUGUGCCGGAGUUAACGCAAUAAGUAUCCCGCCUGGGGAGUACGGCCGCAAGGCUG